rnacentral:lncRNA from 1 species
AUGCUCAGAAGACAAGAAGGAAAAGGCAUAGCCAUUCAGAAAAGGAGGUGGUUUAAGCAAAAGGAUGGUAGGAAUGGGCUAGGAUAUUUCCAGACAGGAGGUGAUAGACCUGGGAUGAUUCAUUUCAUUGGUUCCAUCCGUCUUCAGGCCCCACCCGAAUACGUUUGGAAGACACAUUCAAUGUGUGUGUACAUAUAUUUAUGUGUGUGUGUAUGUUCUUGUUGUUAAAACUCCAUUUUGUUCUUGUUCAAACUUGGUAAAUUUUUGUAAUCUCUUAUCCUUUUGUCAUCCUUUUACAUUCCUCUCUUAUUUCUUAAACAUAUUAAACACACACAUUUUAGACAUUCUAAAUGUGAUAAAUAAAAUAUACACAAAUUCUGUAAGUCUGACACUAAGCACAGUUUGUUGUUCCUGGAAAUUCUCUCAUGAUGUUUUAUUUGUUCUUUUAUUUCUCAUCUGCUUAGGAUUUUGUGGGUAUGAGUAUGAAUUAAUGAUCCUUGGAACUUCAUGUGUGGGGAUCUUUUAAGGACUGGAAUCAAAAUAACUUUCCUCUAGUGAGGACUUGCAACUGCCUUUGCAGGUCCUCGAUGGUACUUCUAACCUGGCAUCACUGAAAACAUGUUUGGGGGGAAUUGAGCCCACAAGUGGUAUAUAUUCCUGCCCCAAAUUCAAGUACAGGCCUUUGGGUAGAAAUUCUUCUGGGAGAUACUGUUGUUUGUGUGUGCUUUUUUCUCUGAUCCACCCAGUUAGGUUGAAGGUAAGUUAGCAUCCCUACCUCUUCCUUCUUUGGGGCUUCUUUUUUUUUUUUUUUUUUUUUUGGCUUAGCCCCAAGAUAUAUCCCUCUGUGUGACUUGGCUUUUUGUGGUGUUGGGGGGUGGGGUUUGUCACCGAUAUGACAUCCCCUAAUUCUGGCCCCAGACCUUGUCUCCAUUGCCCAUCCAUGUGGCCUGUAACCUUCCAUCUGCAUCCCAGCCAAGACUGUCUACACCCUACCCUGUUCAAAUCUAGGGCAAAUGGCUUCAGUGCUUUCUCCUGUGGAGUUAAGCUUUCUUGUUCUUUCUCACUUUGAAGAGAUUCCCUUACUUAUUGCUAGCUCAACUGUGCAUUAAAAAUAUUUUAGUACAUGCCUAUAAUCCCAGCACUUUGGGAGGCCAAGGGGGGGCAGAUCACAAGGUCUGGAGUUUGAGACCAGCCUGGCCAAUAUGGUGAAACCCCAUUUCUACUAAAAAAUACAAAAAUUAGCUAAGCAUGGUGGCAGGCACCUGUCGUCCCAGCUACUGGGAAGACCAAGGCAGGGGAAUCGCUUGAACCCAGGAGGCGGAGGUUGCAGUGAGCUGAGAUCGCAGCACUGCACUCCAGCCUGGGCAACAGAGUGAGACUUCAUCUCAAAAAAUAAAAGUUAAAAAUAUAUAUAUUUUUUAGUCAGCAUCUAAAUUGUGUUAUUAGUCUACAAUUCUGCAGAAAC